rnacentral:misc_RNA from 1 species
GAUGAAGAACGUAGCGAAAUGCGAUAAGUAAUGUGAAUUGCAGAAUUCAGUGAAUCAUCGAAUCUUUGACGCACAUUGCGCCCGCCAGUAUUCUGGCGGGCAUGCCUGUUCGAGCGUCAUUUCAACCAUCAAGCCCCCCGGCUUGUGUUGGGGACCUGCGGCUGCCGCAGGCCCUGAAAAGCAGUGGCGGGCUCGCUGUCACACCGAGCGUAGUAGAUCUCAUCUCGCUCAGGGCGUGCUGCGGGUUCCGGCCGUUAAACCACCUUCAUAACCCAAGGUUGACCUCGGAUCAGGUAGGAAGACCCGCUGAACUUAAGCAUAUCAAUAAGCGGAGGA